rnacentral:rRNA from 1 species
CCCUUAGAUGUUCUGGGCUGCACGCGCGCUACACUGAUGCAUUCAACGAGUCUAAAACCUGCUCUGAUAGGGGUGGGUAAUCUUUUGAAUGUGCAUCGUGAUUGGGAUAGAUGAUUGCAAUUUUUCAUCUUCAACGAGGAAUGCCUAGUAAACGCAAGUCAUCAGCUUGCAUUGAUUACGUCCCUGCCCUUUGUACACACCGCCCGUCGCUCCUACCGAUUGAAUGAUCCGAUGAAUAUCAUAGACUGAGAGUAUAAGCAGGUUCGCCUGUCUUUGCUUCUCGGGAAGUGAAGUAAAUCUUAUCAUUUAGAGGAAGGAGAAGUCGUAACA